CAACCCCCACACACAAGGUUGACCUCGGAUCAGGUAGGGAUACCCGCUGAACUUAAGCAUAUCAAUAAGCGGAGGAAAAGAAACCAACAGGGAUUGCCUCAGUAACGGCGAGUGAAGCGGCAACAGCUCAAAUUUGAAAGCUGGCUCCUUCGGGGCCCGCGUUGUAAUUUGUAGAGGAUGCUUCGGGCGCGGCACCGGUCUAAGUUCUCUGGAACGAGACGUCAUAGAGGGUGAGAAUCCCGUAUGUGACUGGCUGCCUGUGCCCAUGUGAAGCUCCUUCGACGAGUCGAGUUGUUUGGGAAUGCAGCUCAAAAUGGGAGGUGUACUCCUUCUAAAGCUAAAUAUUGGCCAGAGACCGAUAGCGCACAAGUAGAGUGAUCGAAAGAUGAAAAGCACUUUGGAAAGAGAGUUAAACAGUACGUGAAAUUGUUGAAAGGGAAGCGCUUGCAAUCAGACUUGCGCGGCGUCGAUCAGCCUGGGUUCUCCCUGGUGCACUCGGCGCCGCUCAGGCCAGCAUCAGUUUCGGCGGUGGGAUAAAGGCCUAGGGAACGUGGGUCCCCUCGGGG
rnacentral:rRNA from 1 species